rnacentral:lncRNA from 1 species
GGAUUUCCCGCAGGCGCCGGUGGCUGCGCAGCGCCGCUUCCAAGUCGCGCACCGCUCGCUCGUAGUCUCCGCUGUAGUAGGCGGCCGCGCCGCUGGCGUAGAGCAGGUCGAAGGGCUGCAGAGGCCCGGGCUCCAGCUCCAGCUCCCGGCGUGGGCUGUCCGGGGGGCCGCCCCACAGUGGCGGCGGCAGUAGCAGCGGCAGCAGCAGCAGCAGCGGCGGCGCCCAGAUGCGCUCCCGCAUCCUCCGCCUCAGAGAGGCGCGGGACGGUUACGCUCGAGAGGGCUUCGGGGCACCUCGCGUCCGGGUCCCCUCUCCCACCUUCCCUCGGGGAAGCGCGCCGACUCCGCCGCGAUCUGGCCGCUCCGCGAGCCCCAGGUGACCGCCGGCGCUCCGCGUACUGAGAGGCGGAGGCCGUGCCUGGCCAGCCGCUCUUAAAGGGACGCCCACAGCUCACACGCUCCUCCUGCUGCCUGAGACUCCGAGAGCCGCUCUCCCAGGCUCCCCGCUGCAGCGGCGGGGCUGCCAGGGGCGGCACACUCCAGCGCCAGCCAGAGAGCUAGCGCCGCUUGAGGCCGGCCGGGGACGAGGCGCUUUACACUGCCUGAUGGGUACUAGCAGCCCACCCCAGCCAGAUGGAGGACAAGGCCUCUCCAAGUCUCAAGGAAAUGCACAAUCCUUCCUUACCUCUGGCCUCAGAACUCUCAGCAUCUCAUUGAUUAGCAACCUCAUCUGUGGCAAAUCUAAGACAUGCAUGAAAUUUGGUGCCGUGACUCAGAUCGUGACCUCCCUUGGGAGGUCCUCCUGUUCUUUGCUCCUUGAGAAAGAUCCACCUAUGGUCCUCAGACCGACCAGCCCAAGAAACAUCUCACCAAUUUCAA